AACGCAUAUUGCGCCCGAGGCCUUCGGUCAAGGGCAUGUCUGCCUCAGCGUCGGGUUAAUAUCGCCCCCCUCUUCUCAUACUCUGAGUAGAAAUGGGCGGAUCUGGCCGUUCCAGCAAUCAUUCAUUGAGAGCUGGAUCAGCCGAAGAACAGAGGCUAACCAAGGACCCGUCAAGGGCCGCAACUGGGUGGGCAGCUCACGCUUGCUACAUCAUCUUGGUUGUUGGUCUGGGACUUUGUUGUUCGGCCCAAAACAGGAAACCCUUCUUUAUUUUCUCGACCUGAGCUCAGGCAAGAACACCCGCUGAACUUAA
rnacentral:misc_RNA from 1 species